AUCUCAAAUAAUUAGAUUAAGAGAUAAAGCACAUCUGGUGAUUAAAAAUAAGUAUCUUUAUACACUUUCUUUCAAUAACAUGUUUACAGGUGUACACUUUUUUAUUUGGUUCUAAUUAACGGACACCAAUUAUAAAAAUAUAGUCUGUGACAUUAAAUAAUUAUCUUUAUCUUUUAGAUAAGCAUGACAACCGUAAACAUUGAGUAGUAUUGCAUUCCAACUCAUUUCAACCACAUAUAAUUACUAUCAUAUGAUUAGGAUUUCAACCCAAAUGAUUAACUAAAACCACGUCUGGUCAUUUAAAAUUGUUUCUCAUUUAACAUAAUCUUAACUAUAUAUUUGAAAAUUCCACGGUCGUAGUUGGUUUUUAUCUUCAAAAAUACACGGAUAAUAUAUUUAAUCAAUCAAUAUUUAUAUACAAGGAGUUUGGAUUGGGUUUACAGAAUAGAGAAUAAUGGACGAAAAAAUAAAUAAAGAAUGAUAUGGGCGAGAAAAAUAAAGAAUAAAGAAAUAUGACCAAAAUAAAUAUAAAGAAUAGUGAAAUAGGGACUGGUAAAAUAUAUCGAAUAGAGAAAUAUACGGCUGCUUAAAUAUAAGGAAUUAAGAAUUAUGGGAUGUUAAACUAUAAAAAAAUUAUAAAGGAAUACAAACAAAUACGACUGUUACAGUAUAUAAUUGCAGUAGCAUUUUUUGUUUGUUUGUGCACGUGCAAGAAUUAUGUCCGUGCAGAGAAACAAGAACCGGUUUGAACCGGUAUAAAUGAGAUGAUUCUGGCUCUGUAGGUGGCCGGCUCUUAGCAUACGGUCCAAUCAAACAAGUUUUAUGUCUAUAUAGUCCUUAACAUAAAAUUAUGAUGAAGAUUACUAAAUGCUUAAGGAAGAAAGAUGAUCAGGAGGAUUCAUUAAUUAUACAGAAACACAAAAAAUUGUAUUGACUAUAAAAAUUAUUUCAACCGUAUAGAAGAUAAAUUAGUCUACUGUACUUAUACACAACACAUUUUAGCCUAUUGCAAGGCAAAAUUUAUGUUCCUAUCCAAUAUACCCUUUAUCCCGCGGGGUGGCCUCUUUUACAAGACCUAUACCUAUUGUAUUUAUGGUUAACGUGUUCUAAACAUUCAUGAAUUAUUUGCC
rnacentral:lncRNA from 1 species